CAUGAUACUGUGUGCUGCAGGCUCACACAGGAGCUAGACAAAUGGAUUGCAAGGUGUGGCAACUGCCAGAAUUGCAAGCAAACUAAACUUUAAAGGAAAACGAGUAUGAUCAAGUCCACAACAAAUAAUUAUAAAUAGGAAAUAAAAGAAUUACUUACAUGCAGCAGCAAGUCGGUUAUUUAUAUGAGUGUCCAUGACAAAGACAGUAUAUUGGGCGAACUAAGAGAACCUUAAAAACAAGAAUCGCCAAACAUAUCAAUAAUGAACAUACCGAUAAUAUUAAAAAAGGUUAGGAAAAACAUACACUAUCAAACCAUUUUAAAACGUGUCAUGAGAGCAGUCCAAAGGGUCUGAAAUUCAAAGCACUUGAAACGAUUACAUCAAAUUGGAGGGGAGGUGAGCCAGGAAAAUAUAUGAAUUCGGAUCUCUGAUGCCAAAGGGCUUGAAUGACACUGAGGAAGGGGAGAGUUAUCCCCGAAACGCGUCUGACGUAAGUUUCACCCCUGAAAGACUUGAACCCGAUCAAACAGUGCACUGUUAACAACAAAGGAUAUCGAGGAUUCAAGAAAGAAGACUUUGCACACACCUACCUUUAAUCAGCUGAAAGUGAUUACUGGGAACACAUCCCUUGCGAAAUACAGAGUAUUGAAAUACCGACAUACCAAAGACCGGGACGCCGGCCUGCAAUCGGAACCAACUACUCGGAAAAAUAAAAAGGAAAGGUUGUUCCUGGGAAAUCUGAGUGACAAUGUUCUGAAAGUGAUGAACUUUACUUGACCUACCUAUUCUGCAAUGCAUGAGAGGAGAUGUAUCACUUCAAAAUGCCACAAAAUGCCCUAGGAAAGCAUGACAAGCCUUGUCAGGGUGGUCAAUUUAGUUGCCUUGUAGAAACAGAUAAUAAAAGAAAUAGUUGAAUAGAAUUUUGAAACAACUUGACAGA